rnacentral:rRNA from 1 species
UACGUAGGGGGCAAGCGUUGUCCGGAAUUAUUGGGCGUAAAGCGCGUGUAGGCGGCUUGUUAAGUUGGUUGUGAAAACCCAUGGCUCAACCAUGGAAGUGCGUCCAAAACUGGCAAGCUAGAGUUCUGACGAGGAUGGCGGAAUUCCCGGUGUAGUGGUGAAAUGCGUAGAUAUCAGGAGGAACACCGGUGGCGAAGGCGGGUCUCUGGGCCGAUACUGACGCUGAGGAGCGAAAGCGUGGGGAGCGAACAGG